CAGGAUCCCGUCCUGGGCCGAAGGCAGGUGCUAAACCACUGAGCCACCCAGGGAUCCUCAGGAAUUAUGCUUUAAAAGGCGGUCUCACAUCAAAUGGAUCCCAGAAGAUGGACUUUUCCCAUUGAAUCUCCAUAUAGAAACACCGUUUAAUUAAAUGUCAAUAGAGGAAAGUGUUUAGAGACAUGCUUACAUCUGAGAUUCCUCAACUUUAAGAUGGGAGAGUACCAGUACCUUCUUCAUAAAGUUGCUGUGUGGAUUAAAUGAAAACAAGUGAAGUGCAUAGAAUGGUGUCAGGCUCUUGAUGGUAUCAGUCCUGACAUAGAGAAUUGGAAUUAAAGAGAUAUGGAGAAGGAAGCAAGUCUUACAGAAAGUAUGAUUGUUUUUAAAAACAAAAACAAAACAAAACAAAACAAAAAACCCAUGAGGUGUUUUCAGUCACUUCGGUGAGAAGGAGAAAAACAAAUUGAGCUGAAAGGAUAAAGCUUGAUUGUGAAUAUUAUAUGAGAAAUCUGAAGGCUGGAGAAAUCAAGUGACUUGCCUAAAGCAUUACUUGUAAUAGCCAAAUAAUGGAAGAAGCCCAAGCAUCCAUGGAUAGAUGAAGGAUAAACAGCAUAUGCACUGAAAACACUAAUUUUCAGAGCACAAGAGACUCCAUGUACUGUUUUAUUUGUAGAAUUUUCAUGCUUGUGUUUUAAAAUCCUCAGAAGAACAACAACUAUAUUUUAAGAGAAUAGGAGCCUGGUUGCUGGUACUUUAUUGAAUCUCUUUCCUCCCGGAUUUGAAAAUGUGUUGUAAAGGAAGAACAAAGGUCCAAUCAAAGCUGUGGUUUUCCUGGUCAUAGAGAAGAUGUGGCAUCAGAAAAAUCUUGAUUCAAAUAGCUCCUCUACUUCUUACUGGUUGUGUGACUUAAAGUAAGUUAUUUUUUUCUUCCCACUGAAUCUAUUUCCUCAACUGUAAAUAUGGAUAAUUAUAUCUAUCUUAUAGAAAAUCAUGAAGAUUAAAUAAUAUAAUUAGUAAUGUGGUGUAGGGCUGAACAUUUAGAGUUAUUUGCCUGAUAGCUAUUUAAUGAUAGCAUUGUUUCUUACAGUGAUACAUAUAAUCUUAAAAAUUUAGACAUUAUCCAAAGGACUAAUAUAUAGAAGGAUAGGCAAAAAUAUUAUGAUACUGUUUUCAAAGAGAACAGUAUGUGCCAUUAAAGAUAUUUUAUAAACAAUGCUGACAAUAUUGAUUUAAAAGGAUAUAUAUAACAUAUAUUGAUUUUGUUAAUCAUAUGAUACGUUACCUCAUGCCUUUUAAAAUUAAUUUUAAUUUGGUUGGCUUUAUGUGUAAUUAAGCAAAUUGAAAACUACCAUAAGGAGAGAGAAUCAAGGAAAUAAAUAUGACAUUUUAAGCACAGUUCUUCUAAAGCCCUUUCUUCUGAAUGGUCGUUAGUUCUAACUUCAGCACAUUCACUUCUUCGUGUAUUCAUCAAACAUUAGGCCACAUGUUAUGUGUCAGCAACUGCACCAGGCAGGAGGCACAUAAAAAUUAAAAUGGGGCACCUGGGUGGUUCAGUCCAUUAAGGGUUUACCUUCUUCAGCCCUUCAGCUCAGAUCAUAAUCCCAGGGUCCAGGGAUUGAGCCCUGUGUCAAGUUCCUUGCUCAACAGGAGUCUGCUUCUCUCUCUCCCUCUUCCCCUUACUGUGUGCUUUCUCUCUCUUUCUAUCAAAUAAAUAUAUAAAAUCUUUAAAAAAAAUUAAAAUAGGAUGAUCCCUGUCUUCAAGGAUCUCACACCUUGAUAGAAAGACAAUGAUUACACUAUAACAUUACACCAUAACCAUUGUAUAAUGGUUUACACUAGAAAGUGCUGUGGGUGCAUAAAAGCAGGAGCCACUCAUGAUUUGAUUAGGGCAUUUGCCAGGGAAGGAGACAGGGUUGGAGAGACGUCAAAGCAAUAAAGUGAUAAGAUCCUAACAAUGGACCUUGAAUUUGGGCUUGUCUAUAUGUUGUUGUCUUAGGAGUUUAUAGUUACACUACUUUUGAAACAUUUGUUGAACAAAGGUGAUAAAAAUUUGCAGGUUUGUGAACUCAUCAAAUCUUUCCAGAAAAACAGCACCCAUUUGCUGUCAAAUAUCAAUGAAAAAAAGAAAUAUGGAAACCAGCACUGAGGGAAAAUGGAAUUGUUCUUUUUUUUUUAUAAAUUUAUUUAAAAUGCAUUAACUGAAGUGAAACAAAAAAGAGCAUUGUUGGGGGGGGAAUAUAAUCUCUAUUGAAUUUAGUAUAAAGGUGUAAAACUUUGUGGGCACGAAUUCUUUUAGGAUGGUGUUAAAAGAGAGGAGAAAUGUGCUUGAUGAGAAAUUAACAAAUAUGCUUGAGUUAGAAGGAUAUGUGAGUAGUAAUAAUAAGAGCCAGAAAGAUCAAUUCUACUUUAAAUGCGAGUGAAAGGAGACCAGGGAGGUGGACAAAAAUAAAACCAGGCUUCAAGCAAGCCAUUUUCAGGGGAUUUGGCAACUGAAUUAGCACCAUGCAUGAUUCUUCAUGCUAGCAAGGUUGCUAUUUAUGUGGGGGAAGAAGGUUAAUAUAGUUUUUUGACCUCUCUCCCAUGACAUCUUUCUAAAAUCUUGAAUUCUGCUUGUUCAAAAUGGAACUCACCAAUUUCUCAUGCAAAAUCCAUUUUUGUCUGGCCUUACCUGUUACUAUCGAUCACAACACUGAUUUUGUAGUCCCGAGAAGCCAAACUGUUAUUUUGUCUUUUCUGUUUCCUAUAUUCAGUUAUAUGCCCUGUUGUCCAGGGUCCCUCUGUCCGAUGAAUCUUUACUUUCUUCCAUCUCCGAGGUAACUACCCUAAUCUUGGUCUCUGUUACUUCCUGCCCGGGCUCGCAGAGCCUCCCAUCUCUUUCCCACAAUGCACAUGGUUGAUGGUAUAAUCCUCUGCUGGCCUGAUCUGAUCACAUCACUCCACCUGCUCAAACCUCUUCCACAAUUUAUUACUUCAGAAUACAGUCAUAAUGUACCUACAAGCUACUUUCUCAGGUUUACUCCCAAUUAUUUCCUUAUAGACUUCUUAUAUUUUAAUGAAAUUGGACUUUUCACUGAUGCACUAACACAACCCCUGCUUUUCCAUCUCCAUAUCUUUGCAUUUGUGCUUUCUCUGUGUGGAAUAUCCUCCUUUUCUCCUUCUAAUCCACAUGCCCUAAACUAUUCUUCAAGAGCCAUCUUUAAAUCCUCUAUGAAGAUUUUCCUGGUACAUCAAAUUCCUUGGAGUUGUUUUCUUGUUUAAAUUCUCUUCCUAUUAUUUUUUGUGCCACUUCCUUUACUCUAUCUUCUAAGAAUGCAUAAAUUAUUUUUUAUUUCCUGUACUAGAUUAUAGCCUUUUCAGAGCAGGGAUUUGUGUAUUACUCAUCUUUUUGGACUCUUUACAUCAGAUUAGGCACUCAGUAAAUAUUUCUUGAAGUGAAUAUUAAUAAUUAGUAACAAAGUACUAUUUAUAAAAAUAUGAUGUAUUUCAUCAAUUAUUCAAAUUUUAAAAUUUGAGCCAUAUCAUUUCUUUUUUUUUAAAUUUUAUUUAUUCAUGAGAGACACAGAGAGAGAAAGAAGCAGAGA